rnacentral:rRNA from 1 species
AACGCUGGCGGCGUGCCUAAUACAUGCAAGUAGAACGCUGAAGGAGGAGCUUGCUCUUCUGGAUGAGUUGCGAACGGGUGAGUAACGCGUAGGUAACCUGCCUGGUAGCGGGGGAUAACUAUUGGAAACGAUAGCUAAUACCGCAUAAGAGUAGAUGUUGCAUGACAUUUGCUUAAAAGGUGCAAUUGCAUCACUACCAGAUGGACCUGCGUUGUAUUAGCUAGUUGGUGAGGUAACGGCUCACCAAGGCGACGAUACAUAGCCGACCUGAGAGGGUGAUCGGCCACACUGGGACUGAGACACGGCCCAGACUCCUACGGGAGGCAGCAGUAGGGAAUCUUCGGCAAUGGACGGAAGUCUGACCGAGCAACGCCGCGUGAGUGAAGAAGGUUUUCGGAUCGUAAAGCUCUGUUGUAAGAGAAGAACGAGUGUGAGAGUGGAAAGUUCACACUGUGACGGUAUCUUACCAGAAAGGGACGGCUAACUACGUGCCAGCAGCCGCGGUAAUACGUAGGUCCCGAGCGUUGUCCGGAUUUAUUGGGCGUAAAGCGAGCGCAGGCGGUUAGAUAAGUCUGAAGUUAAAGGCUGUGGCUUAACCAUAGUACGCUUUGGAAACUGUUUAACUUGAGUGCAAGAGGGGAGAGUGGAAUUCCAUGUGUAGCGGUGAAAUGCGUAGAUAUAUGGAGGAACACCGGUGGCGAAAGCGGCUCUCUGGCUUGUAACUGACGCUGAGGCUCGAAAGCGUGGGGAGCAAACAGGAUUAGAUAACCUGGUAGUCCACGCCGUAAACGAUGAGUGCUAGGUGUUAGACCCUUUCCGGGGUUUAGUGCCGCAGCUAACGCAUUAAGCACUCCGCCUGGG